rnacentral:misc_RNA from 1 species
UUUCCGUAGGCGAACCUGCGGAAGGAUCAUUAUUGUAUAACCGAGGUGCGAGGGCUGUCGCUGACCCGAAAGGUCGUGCACGCCCGAGUGCCCUCACACACAUCCAUCUCACCCCUAUGUGCACCACCGCGUGGGUCCCCCUUUGGCUUGUUCGGAGGGGGGCUUACGUUUUCACACAAACUUUGUAUGCAGUGUAGAAUGUAUUUUUUGUUUUUGCGAUCACGCAAUCAAUACAACUUUCAACAACGGAUCUCUUGGCUCAC